rnacentral:rRNA from 1 species
UCGAGUCUGACGGAGCACGCCGCGUGAGUGAAGAAGGCCUUCGGGUCGUAAAACUCUGUUGCCGGGGAAGAACAAGUGCCGUUCGAACAGGGCGGCGCCUUGACGGUACCCGGCCAGAAAGCCACGGCUAACUACGUGCCAGCAGCCGCGGUAAUACGUAGGUGGCAAGCGUUGUCCGGAAUUAUUGGGCGUAAAGCGCGCGCAGGCGGCUUCUUAAGUCUGAUGUGAAAUCUUGCGGCUCAACCGCAAGCGGUCAUUGGAAACUGGGAGGCUUGAGUGCAGAAGAGGAGAGUGGAAUUCCACGUGUAGCGGUGAAAUGCGUAGAGAUGUGGAGGAACACCAGUGGCGAAGGCGGCUCUCUGGUCUGUAACUGACGCUGAGGCGCGAAAGCGUGGGGAGCAAACAGGAUUAGAUACC